rnacentral:rRNA from 1 species
GUAACACGUGGGUAACCUGCCUGUAAGACCGGGAUAACUUCGGGAAACCGAAGCUAAUACCGGAUACUUUCGAGCAUCGCAUGAUGCUUGAUGGAAAGACGGCUUCGGCUGUCACUUACAGAUGGACCCGCGUCGCAUUAGCUAGUUGGUGAGGUAACGGCUCACCAAGGCGACGAUGCGUAGCCGACCUGAGGGGUGAUCGGCCACACUGGGACUGAGACACGGCCCAGACUCCUACGGGAGGCAGCAGUAGGGAAUCUUCGGAAUGGGCGAAAGCCUGACCGAGCAACGCCGCGUGAGCGAUGAAGGCCUUCGGGUCGUAAAGCUCUGUUGUUAAGGAAGAACAAGUACGAGAGUAACUGCUCGUACCUUGACGGUACUUAACGAGAAAGCCACGGCUAACUACGUGCCAGCAGCCGCGGUAAUACGUAGGUGGCAAGCGUUAUCCGGAAUUAUGGGCGUAAAGCGCGCGCAGGCGUUUCUUAAGUCUGAUGUGAAAGCCCACGGCUCAACCGUGGAGGGUCAUUGGAAACUGGGAAACUUGAGUGCGAAGAGGAAAGCGGAAUU